UACGGAGGGUGCAAGCAUUAAUCGGAUUUAUUGGGCGUAAAGGGCGCGUAGGCGGGGAGAUCAGUCAGAUGUGAAAAUCCCGGGGCUCAACCCCCGGAACUGCAUAUGAAACUAUCUCUCUAGAGGGUGGGCGGAGAAAACGGAAUUCCAACAAGUAGCGGUGAAAUGCGUAGAUAUGUGGAAGAACACCGGUGGCGAAAGCGGUUUUCUAGCUUACACCUGACGCUGAGGCGCGAAAGCAAGGGGGAGCAAAACAGGG
rnacentral:rRNA from 1 species